rnacentral:tRNA from 1 species
CUAGACUAGCGGGCCUUGAUCCCACAAAAACUUAGUUAACAACUAAACACCCUAUCCAGCGGGCUUCAAUCUA